rnacentral:lncRNA from 1 species
AUCCUUUAUUUCUUCCACAUGAAGAGGGAUACCAACCAGCUGGUAAUACUGAUCGGCAUAAGCUCUUAUACUUGAGUUGGUAUGACAGCCUUGUUUCUUUACACUAUGUUUCCCAUCCUUGUUUCCUAGACCAUGCUACGGUAUUCAUGUAAGCAAGCAAAGGUACAUUUACAAAGGAUAUGUUCACAGAUCUAAUUCUACUUUGAUCUUCCGGAUAGUGCUUCCAAUUCUGUUCAUACUACCUAACAUGCCCCAAAAACUCUCUUAACCUCUACCAAAGUGAGUUGCAAGCAAUGAAUCCUCCACUUGUAGAGCAAAAAUUGUUAAACCUUUCCUGGCC